GAUGAGAACGCAGCGAAAUGCGAUAAGUAAUGUGAAUUGCAGAAUUCAGUGAAUCAUCGAAUCUUUGAACGCACCUUGCGCUCCUUGGUAUUCCAAAGAGCAUGCCUGUUUGAGUAUCAUUAAAUUAUCAACUGUACCAAUUUGGUUGCAGAUUGGAUGUGGGAGAUUUUGCAGGCUUUUGAUUUCUCUUUGAGAAAACGGUCAGCUCUCCUGAAAUAUAUUAGCAGUGCCUUUGUUGGUUCAUUAGGUGUGAUAAUUUAUCUACAUCUUCACAUGGUACCUUCAUUUGUGUAAAGGUCAUAUUGCUUCUAAUUGUCUUUGGACAUAAAAAAAAAAAAACAUAUAAUUGUAUGGAAAACUUGAUCUCAAAUCAGGCAGGACUACCCGCUGAACUUAAGCAUAUCAAUAAGCGGAGGA
rnacentral:misc_RNA from 1 species